GUGAAUCAUCGAAUUUUUGAACGCAAAUUGCGCUUCCUGGCAUCACGGGGAGUAUUCCUGUGUGAGGGUCAGUAUUAACAAAAAAUUGGUUUGGUUGCAACUUGUGACGUUUCCGGAGUUUGGGCUAUCUUAACUUUUUUGGUUAAGGGGCUUAAAAUUGACCUUAUUUGCGCAUGUUUAGACGUAAAUAAUUUUUUUUUUUUAUUGUUUUAUUCUUAAUGCCAAUAUCUGAUUAGAUGCGAUCACAUGGUUUGGUUUCGUUUACAUAAA
rnacentral:misc_RNA from 1 species